AGCGCUGCUGUUUCCAUGUCCAUGUUUAACACAGCACUGCACAGAUUCACUGAAGAGACUGGAAACCCUUUAGAAAGACUCUAUGCUCUGUGUUAACCUACAGAACAUGCUCACUAAAGAAAUCAUACUAACUUAUACAUGUUGUUUAUGCAAGAUUUGCGUGUAUCAAAAUGUAGUAUUUCUAAUUUUAUAAUUGUAUUUGUGAGAUUGUGAUGUUUUCAAGCAAUAACCAUUAUAUUUAUCACUUACACUUAACCAGAAUCAAAAGCAGGGAAAGUGACUUUUUGCCCAGCUCUCCUGUAAUGCAUAAGUCAGAAUAGACAUCAUGUGUGCCCAAUACCAAGUAUAUUGUUUCUUCAGUGUGCCUUCAUUAAAAUAUUGGUCAACAAUUACAUCAUUAAAAGUGAUCUGAUAACAAGAAAGUAGUGAUGAUCCAAAUAUCAAAAGGCUCUUGACUACAGACAUGCUGAAGAGUUUCUGCUUUAGAUAAACUGUUGCUGUAAAAUCAUCUUACGUGACAUAAACAGGGCUGACGUGUCACAAUCUCAGGGAUGCCAUUGCUGUCCGUGUCUGUUCUGGACACUGAUCCAUGUCUUCCCACACAGGUCAGCCACGGUACGUCUCAUUAAACACACACACACACACACACACACACACACACACACUCAUUUGCAUGUGCUGUAAACUCUUUAAUCACUUCAGGUUGAUUAUAUAGUUAUGAAUAAGCUUGAUAGAUGAUGGCCAGGGGUAGAUGUGACCCUGGCAGCGGCUGCUGUGUCUGGUUUUGCUGAAUGGAUUAUCUGGGCUUUUGUGAAGUGAAUGUGUGUUUUGGUGAUUAAUGAAUCUAUUGAUUUUUAAAGCAAAGAGCAGCAGACGAUGACCGCUGUGUGUGUCUUUGUAACUAACAGCAUUUGUUCGACCACAGAGUCACAUUAAAGGGUCGCCAGUAGAGAUUCAGAUAAUAAAAUUUCUACAUUUCUACAAAGCUUUUUUAUAUUUUAUUUAUUUAUUUAUAUUUUGUUGUUUUUGUUUAUUUAAUUUUAUAAUAGUAUAUGAUAAUUAUAGUUACUUCUAUUUGUUCUGUUCUGAACAACGAUAUUGUUAAGUGUAAAUGAUUUGUUUUGAUGUGAGGGGAACUAAAAUAGCCCAGGUUUUGUUUAAAGUUUAUAUUAUUUUAUUACAUUUAUAAUGUUUAUUAUUUUGAUAAUUUCUGAAUGUAAUACUUAAUUUUGUCUUAUCACAUGAGCGGUGUUCUUGUGUCACCGCAUCUGUGUGAACUUUCCAACACGCAUCUGUCAUGUAACACGCCGUGAACCAAACCAAGAUGAACAUUUUAAAGUGCAUGUUUAAAAGUAUAUCUUUUUUUUUUUUUGUAAACCCUUAUUUGUUGGCUGGGCUUGUUUGGAU
ensembl:lncRNA